rnacentral:lncRNA from 1 species
GGUUAUCACAGAGGUUGCCUGGCCCUGUCCUUGUACCUUCUGCAAAUCAGCAGGUGCCGACAGAGGUCAGAAGGGAGCAUAAGGUCCUCCGUCCCCACCCUCCAACCCAGACUGGAGUUCCAGCAGUUGUAAGCCAGCUGACAUGGGUACUGGCAACUGAACUUCGUGUUCCUCUGGAAGAGCUAGCCAGGGUAAUCCUGAAUGAGUUCUCAGGAGAGCAUCUCCAGGCUGCCAAUGAAGACUGGCCACAUUCCUGAGAACUGACUUUC